rnacentral:rRNA from 1 species
AUACGUAGGUGGCGAGCGUUGUCCGGAAUUACUGGGCGUAAAGGGUGCGUAGGCGGAUAUUUAAGUCAGAUGUGAAAUUCCCGGGCUCAACCUGGGAAGUGCAUUUGUGACUGUAGGACUCGAGUGUGGCAGAGGGGGGUGGAAUUCCACGUGUAGCAGUGAAAUGCGUAGAGAUGUGGAGGAACACCAGUGGCGAAGGCGGCUUUCUGGACGGUGUCUGACACUGAGGCGCGAAAGCGUGGGGAGC